CAGAGUUGCAAAACUCCCAACCCUUUGUGAACGAACCGAGCAGUUGCUUCGGCGGAAGGCCCUUUAGGGGGCAGCCCGCCGGAGACCUACAAACUCUUGUUUUUUUGGCAUCUCUGAGUAGCUUAUAAAUAAGUUA
rnacentral:misc_RNA from 1 species